UAGACAACCUGAAGGAUUCAAUCUCAGCCAAUCACCUUCACCUCGGCAAAUUUCUAAAGACUAGUUUUACCCAGGACUCAGAUUUGCCAGGUUACUUCAUCACUGUGUUGGGCCAGUUGGUAGUAAUAACAAUUACCCUUUUCCUCACCCGACUGGGAUCUGUGUUUAGAAACUGUCCCGCGUCCUCACCCCCAAAUGGGAGCUGGGGAUGAAGCCAAUCAUGUGAGUGCAGGCAUCUCAAAGGUACCAAUGGGAAAGCCCCUCCACUAGAGGGUGUCCUAGGAAGUGCUGGACAAGAACUCAAGUCAACCACUGAAUCCACACAGGUGUCCUGACCAUGCAGAGCAGAGAAUGCCAGAAAUUUCAGAGGAGGUUGAUCAUAAAAGUCGCAUGUUGACUUAACCUACUAAAUAUAGCUGUGAAGUCAGAAUGCCUACAGGAUAGUUAGGACUGUUGCUGGGAAGGAGUAGAAAAGUCAAGGCCAUACAGCUUUAGGGAAGAGAUUCCGAGAGUUUUGCCCGUGUCAUUCCUACCUGGAGGGUGCCAAGCCUGACGCAUGUGCCAUGGCUCUCUUCCAACAAUGGAGACAUAUUUGGAGAUGAAACCAUUCAAAACUGCCCAUCCACAGACAGUUUGUGACAGCGUAAUUGACAAUGCGUCUGCUGCAAAAAAAUGAAAAUGCUGUUUUAAUAACCUUGGCCUAAAAUACAUUCUAUUGUAUGCCUCAAAGGGUUUCAAUAAAGUCAACCUGUAGAGACAUAUUUUCUUGGCUUAAACAACAAUCCAAAGCAUAUAAAUGUAGUCCAACUAUAAUGACAUAUUUAUAGGCCAAUAAAGCUUACACUGCAGCUUUCAUACUUCACUUAAAGGAACUCUGUAAGAAGCAGUGUUAUAUAAAAUAAUUUGAUUUCUUUUCAAACUAUAGCCCAAGGAAUAAAAAAAUGCAAGUAUGCUAUGUUUAACUGAUAGUGUUUAUAUUCCUUAGCUGUCAAAAGUUUUGUAAAAUGAAAUAAUUCUUCAUUUGAC